rnacentral:rRNA from 1 species
GGCUCAGACAAAACGCUGGCGGCGUGCCUAACACAUGCAAGUCGUACGAGAAAGUCCGGGCAACUGGGCGAGUAAAGUGGCGCACGGGUGAGUAACGCGUGGGUAACCUGCCCUUGAAUUGGGGAUAACUCCGCGAAAGCGGGGUUAAUACCGAAUAACAUUCCGAUGUCCCUGGAUGUUGGAAUCAAAGGUGGCCUCUGCAUGCAAGCUACCGUUUAAGGAUGGGCCCGCGUACCAUUAGCUAGUUGGUGAGGUAACGGCUCACCAAGGCAGCGAUGGUUAGCUGGUCUGAGAGGAUGACCAGCCACACUGGAACUGAGACACGGUCCAGACUCCUACGGGAGGCAGCAGUGGGGAAUCUUGCGCAAUGGGGGAAACCCUGACGCAGCAACGCCGCGUGGGUGAUGAAGGCCUUCGGGUCGUAAAGCCCUGUCAGGUGGGAAGAACCGUACCGAUGCGAACAGCAUCGGUACCUGACGGUACCACCGGAGGAAGCACCGGCUAACUCCGUGCCAGCAGCCGCGGUAAUACGGAGGGUGCUAGCGUUGUUCGGAAUUACUGGGCGUAAAGCGCGUGCAGGCGGUCGAGCAAGUCAGAUGUGAAAGCCUUCCGCUUAACGGAAGAAGUGCAUUUGAUACUACUCGGCUGGAGUUCGGGAGAGGAGAGUGGAAUUCCUGGUGUAGAGGUGAAAUUCGUAGAUAUCAGGAGGAACACCGGUGGCGAAGGCGGCUCUCUGGCCCGAUACUGACGCUGAGACGCGAAAGCGUGGGGAGCAAACAGGAUUAGAUACCCUGGUAGUCCACGCCGUAAACGAUGGGCACUAGGUGUAGGAGGUAUUGACCCCUUCUGUGCCGAAGCUAACGCAUUAAGUGCCCCGCCUGGGGAGUACGGCCGCAAGGCUUAAACUC